GCACACGUGCACGUCGACGAGUCGCGGCUCUAUCAGCUUGUGGAGAGGUAACGGCUCACCAAGGCAUCGAUCGGGUAGCUUGAGUGAGAGGAUGAUCAGCCACACGUGGAACUGAGACACGGUCCAGACUCCUACGGGAGGCAGCAGUGGGGAAUUUUGCUCAUUGGGCGCAAGCCUGAUGCAGAGAUGCCCCGUGCGGGAAGAAGGCCUUAGGGUUGUAAACCCAUUUCAGUAGGGAAGAAAAUGUUGGUACCUACAGAAGAAGGUGCGGCCAACAGUAGCCAGCAGCCGCUGUGACGGGUAGGCAUCAAGCUUUAUCCGGAUUUAUUGGGAGUAAAGAGCUAGUAGGCGGUUUGGUAAGUAGGGUGAGAAAACUUUGGGCUCAACCCAGAGAGGCCACUCGGCUCUGCUAUGACUAGAGUACGGUAGGGGAGCGGGGAAUUCUUGGUGUAUCGGGGAAAUGGGCAGAUAUCAGGAGGAACUCCAGCGGCGAAGGGCCCGCUUUGGUCAGUAAUUGACGCUGAGGACAGAAAGCAUGGGUAGCAAACAGGAUUAGAUUCCCUGGUAGUCCACACCGUAAACGUUGGGCAUCAGGUGUGGGUAUCAACCAACGAGAUCCGCGCCGUCGAUAACGCAUUAAGUG
rnacentral:rRNA from 1 species